rnacentral:rRNA from 1 species
AUUGAACGCUGGCGGCAUGCUUUACACAUGCAAGUCGAACGGCAGCGCGGGGCAACCUGGCGGCGAGGGGCGAACGGGUGAGUAAUACAUCGGAACGUACCCAGAAGUGGGGGAUCACGUAGCGAAGGUUACGCUAAUACCGCAUACGUUCUACGGAAGCAAGUGGGGGACCUUCGUGCCUCAUGCUUUUGGAGCGGCCGGUGUCUGAUUAGCUAGUUGGUAGGGUAAAGGCACACCAAGGCGACGAUAUGUAUGCGGGUCUGAGAGGAUGAUCCGCCACACUGGGACUGAGACACGGCCCAUACUCCUACGGGAGGCAGCAGUGGGGAAUUUUGAACAAUGGGGGCAACCCUGAUCCAGCCAUGCCGCGUGAGUGAAGAAGGCCUUCGGGUUGUAAAGCUCUUUCGGCCGGGAAGAAAUCGAACAGGCUAAUACCUUGUGUGGAUGACGGUACCGGAAUAAGAAGCACCGGCUAACUACGUGCCAGCCGCCGCCGUAAUAC